rnacentral:rRNA from 1 species
CUGCUGCCUCCCGUAGGGGUCUGGGCCGUAUCUCAGUCCCAAUGUGGCCGGAUCGACCUCUCAGUCCGGCUACCCAUCGUCGGCUAGGUGGGCCUCUACCCCGCCUACUACCUAAUGGGCCGCGACCCCAUCCCGCGCCGUCGGGGCUUUCCCGCCGCCCCCAUGCGGGGGCCGCGGAGUAUCCGGUAUUAGCCGCCGUUUCCAGCGGUUGUCCCGGAGCGCGGGGCAGGUUGGUCACGUGUUACUCACCCGUUCGCCACUGUAUGUCCGCCCGAGGGCGUUUAACCG